AAUUAGCGCCCGUUCUCAUUAAGCGCUGCAUGAUAUGGGCUUUCUAUGUGGUGUUUCCUUGCUUAAUUCGGCAAUAGAUUUGGAUUCGAAUUCACCCAUAAAUGUUGGGACGUUAACCAAUUUCUGAGUAAGAGCAGAGCAUUCAUUCUAUCUCUCCAGCUUUCCUCCGUCACAAAAUUUCCGGCGACAGAGUCUUGGCGUUAGGGUUCGCUGUUCAGCUCUGCUCUCGCUGGAUUCCUCCGUCCGCUCUUCGUCUGCUCAAUGAUUUCUUCACCCAAAGCGAACAAGUCAUUUCUGCUGAAGAUGUGAGGCUUUAAGUUUUGCAGAUUAGGAACUGUGAAUGAAUGAUAGAGGAGUAAAGAUGAAGAUGACUUACGUUGGAAUUUGAAGAGAACAUAUGCAGUUUUAUUAAGAGGAGGAAGAGGAAGAGGAAGAGGAAGGACUGGAAAGCCGGGAAGAGCCAUGAUUACUCCGGGCAUAAACCUGGUGAUGACCGUCAUUGGAUUUGCGGUCAGUACGAUGUUUAUAGUUUUCGUCUGUACGAGGCUUAUUUGUGCAAGGAUCCAGCUGAGUGCUUCCAGACGAUCCUUUCCGACGGCUUCUAGAUCUGAUCUUAGCGUAUUGGAACGUGGGCUUCACGGAUUGGAGCCUGUUGUCGUAGCCACUUUUCCUACAAAGAAGUUCAGUGAUAAUUUUUUUGCUUCUGGAGAAGAUUCACAAUAAUCACAUUGCUUUGAGUUUUGGUUCUAAUGCCAAAGUUCUGGUCAGCAGCAACCAAUCAUCAGUAUUAGUGAGCCUUCAAAAACAGAAAUAUAGUCUUGGAAGUCAUCCUAGAUUGCAAGGAAAAGUUGCUAGUUUGAGAAUUUGGAAAAUAAUUUCUUCAGAAGCUCUUCACAUAAAAAAUCCUAUUUGGAUCAGCCAGAAAUUACAGAUCUGUAUUAGAUCCGACUGCUCAGACCAUAUUAACGCAGACACUAAUUGACCUUUAUAUUUUCCAUUUUUAGUGGCUCAUUGUUUCUGAGUUCUGUCACUGAUGUGGAUAGAUCCACCUAAAAGGUAGGUUUCAGAGACCUUUAACUAACCAGAAUUGCAGACAAGGAUGUUACAGCCCAGAAUUUUCGGAGAAACUCUGUAAAACCAAAUCUGGAACUCAGAUGCAAACAAGGCUGAGAAUAGAUGUUGACUAACAGUAGAACAUAACAUACUGAAAGAUCAAACAGAUCCGAUGGUUGGAUUUAGAGUACUGAUAGUGUUUCAGUUCUGAAGGAUACCUUAAAAUGGAAUCAACAACUCCAGCAAAGAGAAAAUUUAACGUUGAAUUCUAUUCUCAGAUGGCAUAAUCAAGGUACCAAAUCUCAGUUCGAUCCUAGAGUUGAAUGCUGAGAUUAGGCAGUGUCCUUAUUCACUUGAACACAUCAAGCCAAAUCUGAAAAUAGUAAGUAUCGAUCUCUGAUUUGGAAAGAUUAAUGGAGCCAUGAAUAUGUUAUUCAUGGGUCACUUCUAAGCAACUAAUUAGAAAAAAGCAAAUAAUUAAAGAACCAAAACAAGUAUCCUAUGAUGGGGAAGGCAUAGCUGGUCCAAAUCAGGUGCACUGAGUUCAGAACUGAGUCAACUCAUAAGCCUUAAGCCUUGUUACACUAUAAAACUAUUCAGUAGUUGUAUUUUUUUUAAUUUCCUUUCUGAGAAGGAUGAUAGUUCUCUUAUUUCAUAGUGUUUUUUUUCCUUUCUGUUGCAUAAGAUUAUUUUCCUUAUUCUUGAGAGGGUGGGUGCUGAACAAGCAUCCUGGUUCAAUUUGCAUCUGUAGUCUACUCCACUUGAUUUGGCUUCUCCUUAAAGGAACAUAUAAAUUUUAAUUGCAUAGUUUGUUUUACAGAAUAAAGGGAAGGAGGUAAAAGUUUCUCAUGAUUGGCACACAUAAUUGUACCCAGUGGAAGGGUGAUUCAGCCAUUCUGACCUUGAACAUGUUGGGAAUGGUCUGGAUUGGCUGUGUGUAAAAUCUUUCACCUUCCCAUGUUAAAUCCAUGCCUCUCCAGGUCAUCCAAACAUUCAUGUACACCCUUUUGGUAGUCCUUGAUUUUCACAACUUCAGUUUGCCAGGUGGGCCAUCCUUUUUGGCUGAAAGUUGACAUGUAAGCAGGGGACCUUGGGGUCUACCUUUCCAUAAAAUUUCAGCCCCAUCCAACCUGCUAUGCGGAAGUAAGUAUAUGCUUGGUGGUUGUGAAGUUUUACAACUGGGUGCAAUUUUUUUGUUUGCGUGAAGACAAAAAAGGGUGUAAAGAUUACUUCAAGGCCUUUUUACAUCAAAGCAAAUAGAGCCUAAGUGCCUAAAGCAGAUGGUGGAAUCUUGGUAGACAGAAUAGCAUAUCUUUGCAACAAAAUCUGUACAGUGGUGAUGGUGGAUGAUUCUUCUUUUGUACAAAGGUGGUCAGUUGAUGGAUGCUCAUGGCCUGCUCUGAGUUACAGAUCAAUCCACGUUGAAGAGUUUGGGAAAGCUGAUUGCGUUUUUUAUCACAUGGGAAUUAGGAAAAAGCAAAGGAAGCUUUCUGAUUAUAAAAUGCACGGUAUGCCUUGCAGAGUACCAGGAGAAGGAUGUGAUACGUGUCCUGCCCUACUGUGGGCAUUAUUUUCAUGUGACCUGCAUUGAUGUAUGGCUGCGGCAACAUUCUACUUGUCCCGUUUGUCGAAUUUCGCUGCGAGAUUCUCCGGAGAGGAAACGUGUAAUGCAACCGAUGACUAGUUCGGCCAUCAGGCCAACUUUCGGAAUGGAUUCCCUUGACUCCCAUUCUUAUCACUGUUUGUACACUAGCCAUGCCCAUUCAUCUAGACCCAUGGAUGGCCAACGGAUGGAACCCAUUCAAGAGGAUCAGUUUGCAUCUAAGGUUGAUGCAGUAGCAGCUGAAGGGAUCAGUGCCUCCUUAAACGAGGAUAACCAGGUCCCAAAAGUCAGUGGUCCUUACAAAUCAGAAAUCAAGCAUUUUGAGAGUCCAUCUAAUCCAUAGCCAGGAGGCAUACAUUGUGUUGUGUCCUGGACACGUUCUACUAUUAGAUCUUCGACUGUAAGUGAUUGAAGGUGUUUUAAAUUAUCCAGAGACGUGACAUGGGAAGUUGAUCGGUUUCUCUAGUGGCUUACUGUGCAUAUAUGACGACUUUAGUGCUUCCUGAUUGUAGCUGGCUUCUUAUUAAUUCAAGCUUGUUUAACUUUGUUUUGAGAGGAGUUCUAAACUUCUCUUUCUGAGCUUCUGUGACAGUACGUAAACUACUGACUUCUACUUUUGAUGCUAUGCAAUUGGGGGUUGGGUGCUCA